GACGAACGCUGGCGGCGUGCUUAACACAUGCAAGUCGAACGGUGAAGCUCCACCUUGCUGGGGUGGAUCAGUGGCGAACGGGUGAGUAACACGUGAGCAACCUGCCCCUGACUCUGGAAUAAGCGCUGGAAACGGCGGCUAAUACUGGAUACGAGAAGGGUCCGCAUGGGCACUUUCUGGAAAGUUCUGCGGUUGGGGAUGGGCUCGCGGCCUAUCAGCUUGUUGGUGAGGUAGUGGCUCACCAAGGCGACGACGGGUAGCCGGCCUGAGAGGGCGACCGGCCACACUGGGACUGAGACACGGCCCAGACUCCUACGGGAGGCAGCAGUGGGGAAUAUUGCACAAUGGGCGAAAGCCUGAUGCAGCGACGCCGCGUGAGGGAUGACGGCCUUCGGGUUGUAAACCUCUUUCAGCAGGGAAGAAGCGAAAGUGACGGUACCUGCAGAAGAAGCACCGGCUAACUACGUG
rnacentral:rRNA from 1 species